CUUAGUGUGUAAUAUCUAAGUUGGAUUCAAGCUUGUAGUCUAAGAGUUUCUCAUCCCUCUUGGAAGUACACCUCAUUCUCCCCUUCUUUCCGCUGCAUCCACUCUAUCUCGUCAUCACCCUCAUUCAUCGUCAUUCCGCUGUUUUGUUCAACAUCUAUCCAUCAUUCACCAUCAAUCUCGCCACAUCCAUUUCAAAACCAUCAAAGUGGUCCUUGGAGCAUAGAUCCACGGCAAGGAGUCUAUCAUGUGGUAUCAGAGCCACUUUGUAACCAGGUUUUGAAGUUCC
rnacentral:lncRNA from 1 species